rnacentral:tRNA from 1 species
GCUCCAGUAGCCAACAGCAUAAGGCCAUGGCCUACUAAGCCAGGGAUUGUGGGUUCAAGUCCCAUCUUGGGACA